rnacentral:tRNA from 1 species
UCCCGAGUAGCUCAGCUGGUUAGAGCGAGUGGCUGUUAACCACUAGGCUGGCGGUUCAAAUCCGUCCUCGGGAA